AAAGCCUGAUCCAGCAAUGCCGCGUGGGUGAAGAAGGUCUUCGGAUUGUAAAGCCCUUUCGGCGGGGACGAUGAUGACGGUACCCGCAGAAGAAGCCCCGGCUAACUUCGUGCCAGCAGCCGCGGUAAUACGAAGGGGGCUAGCGUUGCUCGGAUUGACUGGGCGUAAAGGGCGCGUAGGCGGCUUGUACAGUCAGACGUGAAAUUCCUGGGCUCAACCCGGGGGCUGCGUUUGAUACGUAUGGGCUUGAGUUCGGAAGAGGGUCGUGGAAUUCCCAGUGUAGAGGUGAAAUUCGUAGAUAUUGGGAAGAACACCGGUGGCGAAGGCGGCGACCUGGUCCGAUACUGACGCUGAGGCGCGAAAGCGUGGGG
rnacentral:rRNA from 1 species